rnacentral:rRNA from 1 species
CAGCCGCCGCGGGAAUACGUAGGUGGCAAGCGUUGUCCGGAAUUAUUAGGCGUAAAGGGCUCGCAGGCGGUUUCUUAAGUCUGAUGUGAAAGCCCCCGGCUCAACCGGGGAGGGUCAUUGGAAACUGGGAAACUUGAGUGCAGAAGAGGAGAGUGGAAUUCCACGUGUAGCGGUGAAAUGCGUAGAGAUGUGGAGGAACACCAGUGGCGAAGGCGACUCUCUGGUCUGUAACUGACGCUGAGGAGCGAAAGCGUGGGGAGCGAACAGGAUUAGAUACCCGUGUAGUCCCUGUCUCUUAUAC